UCCCCUGAUGUUCUGGGCUUCACGCAGCUUGCUAUAGAUGAGGCAGAGCUUGCUUUGGACAGCCUUGAAGUUCAAGUUGACUGUGUGAUUGUUGAGGAAGGGCACCUUAUUGCGGCAAGAAGAAACAGGACUAAUGAGACACAGAAAGCAAGAAGACGUGCAGAAAUGGAAGCUCACUGAUGUCCUUCUUGAAUGGUGGCGGAGGAAUGGACUUCCGUCUGCAGAAGUUGCAGAGAAAUUUUCAGCAUGCUCCCUUCAUGUGUCAUGUGAAGUACGCA